GUGAGUGGUCAUACUAUGCUGAAAACACCGGUUCUCAUCCAAUUCCUGAAGUUAAGCAGCAUCAGGUCUGGUUAGUACUUGAUGGAUGACCGGCUGAGAAUCCCAGAUGCUGUUCUCA
rnacentral:rRNA from 1 species